rnacentral:tRNA from 1 species
GUAGCUCAACUGGAUAGAGUACCUGGCUACGAACCAGGCGGUUGGAGGUUCGAGUCCUCCCGAGCGCGCCA